UCUCGAUUCGUCUAGUGGUUAGGAUACCUGCUUGUCACUUCGUUAAUUUGUAUGAUAAAUCGCAGGUGGCCGGGGUUCAAUUCCCCGAUCGAGAG